rnacentral:rRNA from 1 species
AUGCGAGCAUGCCGGUCGCCGCAGCUCGGUCAUCAUGACCAUGCCCACCCAUCCCUUGCUCCUUCAUUAGCCCACCGUCGAAGCUACAACUGGCGAGCCUCGGCGCUGCAACCGUUGAUGUCUUUUGCUACGACCGAUGACAGUAAUUGCUACAACCAUUCAUGGGAUGUUGCAUUGGCGACGGCGAUGACAACCAUUUGUUGCAACCGUCGUCGGCUUUUGCUAGGACCGGCGACGACAGUUGCUACAACCAUUCAUGGCGAUGCAGCGAUCUACUAUGGCAUCGACGACGACUUGUUGCAACCGUCGUCUACUUUUGCUACCACUAGCGAUGACAUUUGCUACAACCAUUCAUGGCGAUGCAAAGAUCCACGAUUGUGGCGACGACGAUUUUGCUACAACCGUCAUCGGCUUUUGCUACAACCGUCAUUGGCUUUUGCUACAACCGGUGUUGGACAAUUGCUACAACCAUUCAUGGUGAUGAUUGGUGGCUGUUGUUUGCAAAGGUUGCAACCGAUGGCCAUGGAAGCUGCGACCAUGCUUCGGCGAUGA